rnacentral:rRNA from 1 species
CCUACGGGUGGCAGCAGUGGGGAAUAUUGGUCAAUGGGGGCAACCCUGAUGCAGCAACGCCGCGUGAGUGAAGAAGUCAUUCGUGAUGUAAAGCUCUAUUAGCAGGGAAGAAAAUGACGGUACCUGCCUAAGCAGCCCCGGCUAACUACGUGCCAGCAGCCGCGGUAAUACGUAGGGGGGAAGCGUUAUCCGGAUUUACUGGGUGUAAAGGGAGUGUAGACGGCGACGCAAGUCUGAAGUGAAAUGCCAGUGCUCAACACUGGAACUGCUUUGGAAACUGGGUAUCUUGAGUGCAGGAGAGGUAAGUGGAAUUCCUAGUGUAGCGGUGAAAUGCGUAGAUAUUAGGAGGAACACCAGUGGCGAAGGCGGCUUACUGGACUGUAACUGACGUUGAGGCGCGAAGGCGUGGGGAGCAAACAGGAUUAGAUACCCCAGUAGUC